rnacentral:tRNA from 1 species
GGCCCGUUCGUCUAGUGGUUAGGACUCAGGGUUUUCAUCUCUGCAACAGGGGUUCGAUUCCCCUACGGGCUACAA